AUAUUUUCUGACUAAAAAUCCUUCUUUUAUUCCUCAAAUAUGGAUCUUUACGGGCUCAUACUGCAUCCUAAAGUUCGGCUGUCUUCAAUUAUGGUGGUCAACGAAAUAGAGCAUAUGUAGACAUAAACUUUACCACAUGAUCUGCUAGCUCCGCCCUCUCUUAACCAUUUGACAGCAUAGUGACAUUGAUUGACAUCUGGUACAUAAUAAUUGAUUGGACUAUAGAUGGGAACCCUAUAGGAGAUACUGUGUGAAACCUGCAAAGGCCUCUUGGUACUAAAUGCUUCAAGUUUGCUGGGGGAAUUCACUGUCACAGUUU